UAACUAUUCGUCUACCUCCUCAUGCCUUUUGCACACAUUGUAUAUAGACUCCCCCUUUGUUUUCUACUGUGUUAUUGACUUGUUAAUUGUUUAUUCCAUGUGUAACUCUGUGUUGUCUGCUCACACUGCUAUGCUUUAUCUUGGCCAGGUCGCAGUUGUAAAUGAGAACUUGUUCUCAACUAGCCUACCUGGUUAAAAAAAGGUGAAAUAAAAAAAAUAAAAAAAUAAAAAAGAGGAAAUGGACUGAACUCCACAGGGCCUUGUUUGUUUUCACACCUUAACCCAUUGGUACCUCUCUCCUCUUUCCCCCAUAUCUCUCUCAUUCUCUCAUCUUCCUUACUAUUUGACUGUCCUCACCUUCUCUGUGUGUUUCAUACUGCUGUGUGGCUAUCAGAUUGUGUAUGCCUUUUUUGCGUGUACAUUUGUGCACGCCCACACAGGGGGAAUAGGGUGGAAAACUAAGACAGAACUUAUCCACAUUGACAGUUAUUUAGCUGAGCCUGUGAAGUCUGGCUGACGUUACAGGAGAGUGGCCUGUCUGGUGGCUGUCAACUGCAGCGCUGCAGCAGAGGGUUGAAACAGUCGAAGGGGGGGGUCGCCUCGCCUCAAAGCCUGUGCCCACACAGUCUGGAGUGGAGUUAUCACACGAUAGAGCGGUCAAAAAGAACGUUGUGAUGUACCAUCUAUCACUAUUAACUAAACAGUCACGUGCGGUAUUGUCCCUCCCCUCUCCUGUUUCACUCCUCCCCUCUCCUGUUUCACUCCCCGCCUCAGCUGUUUCAUUGUCAAAAGGGACGUUGUUUCAUUUAACACCCAAAUUGUAGAACUAAAUGAUCUGGCACUGAGCUACAUCUCUUCUGUUUCUCUCUCUCUCACUCUCUCUUUCUCAGCUUUGAUGUCAGCUGGAUGCUGUACCACCAACUGUAGAAAUGUGAAAAUAUGGGACAGCUUCGAUGCCUCUUCUUGACAACACUGCACCCCAGCUGGGACGUUUGGGGUGAGACGUACCUCCUCAACGGUGGGAUAAGGAGGGUCCAACACUCCUGCUGCCCUGGCCCAAACAGACACUAGGACAACUGGACAACCCUCUCCAAGAUCCUGAUGGUCUGUCCCAUCCGUCCUCAUAUACUACUAUGUUUUCAUUUCUACAUAUCUAGAGUUCGGGACAAUUUGGGGGAAAACUUGGGAAUGCUACUAGGACGAAUGGAUGGCAUUCCCAAAGACUGCCACAGCUAAAUGGAUGAGAGCGAGACUGGAUACCGCAUAUGAGCUCCCUGCCAACCACCAAGACAUGGCCUACCUCCCAGAGAGGGAAAGAAGCAGGGGAAGAAGUGAAAAGAAGGAGAGAAGAAGAGGACCACUCCUCUCAGCUUAUCAGUCUGGGGUUCUCUCUCUCUCUCUCUCUCUCUCUCCCUCUCUCCCUCUCCUAUUCCUCCCUCUGCCUCUACCCUUUCUCUCUUAUUAUCUCUUUAUCUCUCUCUCCUAUUCCUCUUUCUCCCUCUGCCUCUCCCCCUCUCUCUCUCUCUCCUGUUCCUCUUUCUCCCUCAGCCUCUUCCCUCUCUCUCUUAAUCUCUAUAUCUUCCCAUUCACUUCUACUUUCUUCUUCUCUUUCCUCUCUCCCCUUCUCGCUCUCUCCCACCACCCCCUUUCUCCUUCCAUCCCCCCUCUCCCCCUCCUUCCCCCUAUCUCCAGCAGCCUCCACAGAUAUUCAUUAUCUUCUUCUGUGUACUGAGACAUUCGUAAUCUAAUGUUCCUCCUCUCGUCUGCAGCCACAAAUCUAGAUGAUAAGAUUAUCCUAUCCUCUCCCAGUCAUCAUCUCAAACUUUUGUUGACCAAUUUCAUUAAACAGAGUGAAAAAGCUGAAGUUUGUGUUAAAGGGAAAGUUCAGCGAAAUUGCAUAUUUAGAUAUUUGUUUCCUCACCUUGAAAACAGUUUCUCAAAUAUCUAAUUUUGCUGAACUAUCCCUUUUUUAGAAGUUCCCAGGCAAAACCCUCCACCACCAACAUGCUGUGUCUUAUUACAAAACUACAAAAUGGCCGCCAAUGUUAGCUUGUUGGGUAACGUUGUAGUUCUAACCAGAUACAGUGUUACGGUGUUAGCCUAGUUUUCUUUUUUGUAAAAUCUUGCUCCCUUCCGAGCACCUAUAUUUCCAGCUAGGGAGGUGAGUAUACAUUCUCCAUGUUGUUUUAUACAAGAAAGGUAAAGUGAAAGUACAUAGUAGUUUAUUGGAAUUAGUUUUCUAUAUAUAUAUAUAUGAUUAUUAUUUUUGACUGGUAUUAGAACACUUAUAUGAAGAUAUCUAUGUAUACAAAAUAAUAAAGAUUCUUCUUUAUGUAAA
ensembl:lncRNA